GACAGAGGUGCCAAGCGUUAGGCGGAAUCACUGGGCUUAAAGCGUGUGUAGGCGGAUGCCUAAGUACCUUGUGAAAUCCCACGGCUCAACCGUGGAACUGCUUGGUAUACUGGGUGUCUUGAGCCAUCUAGGGGCUACCGGAACAAAUGGUGGAGCGGUGAAAUGCGUAGAUAUCAUUUGGAACGCCAAUGGUGAAAACAGGUAGCUGGGGGAUGUGCUGACGCUGAGACACGAAAGCCAGGGGAGCAAACGGG
rnacentral:rRNA from 1 species